AUAAUGGUAUGUAGGAAUUUCGGACGCGGGUUCAACUCCCGCCAGCUCCACCA
rnacentral:tmRNA from 1 species